UACGGAGGGUGCAAGCGUUAAUCGGAAUUACUGGGCGUAAAGCGUGCGUAGGCGGUUCGUUAAGUCAGAUGUGAAAGCCCCGGGCUUAACCUGGGAACUGCAUUUGAAACUGGCGGACUUGAGUUGAGUAGAGGGGAGUGGAAUUUCAGGUGUAGCGGUGAAAUGCGUAGAUAUCUGAAGGAACACCAGUGGCGAAGGCGACUCCCUGGACUCAAACUGACGCUGAGGUACGAAAGCGUGGGUAGCAAACAGGAUUAGAAACCCUAGUAGUCC
rnacentral:rRNA from 1 species